rnacentral:lncRNA from 1 species
AAUUUCUUUUUUUUCGAGACAGAGUCUCACUCUGUCACCCAGGCCAAAACAAGAGGAUCACUUGAGCUCUAGAGUUUGAGUCCAGCCUGGGCAACAUAGAGAGACCCUAUCUUUACAAAAAAUUUAAAGCUUAGUUGCAUGUGGUGGCAUAAGCCUGUAGUACCAGCUACUCAGGAAGCUGAGGUGGGAGGAUCACUUGUGCCAGAAAGGUCAAGGCUACAGUAAGCUGUGAUUGUGCCACUGCAUUCCAGCCUGGGCAACAGAGCAAGACAUAAAAAAAAAAAUUAUUUUUUAUACCAAGAAUUUAUUUACAUUGCCAAUUUUUCCUAGGUACAAAUGAUGCAAAAUGUGCACCUGGAUCCAGAGACAGAUGAAGAUGAUCUUUAUUCUGGCUAUAAUGACUACAGUCCAAUUUAUGAUAUUGAGGAAUUGGAGAAUGACGCAGCUUUUCAGCAAGCUGUGAGAACUAGUCAUGGCAGAAGACCUCCAAUAACUGCUAAAAUACCAAGCACGGCAGUUACUAGACCUAUAGCUACUGGAAAUGGGUCUAAGACAUCCCUGGCAUCAUUCAUAGGAAGACCAGUGACAGGGGCUAUUCAGGAUGGAGUUACUAGACCCAUGACAGCAGUGAGAGCAGCUGGUUUUACCAAAGCAGCUUUGAGAGGCUCUGCAUUUGACCCACUUGGUCAGUCAGGGGCCCUGCUCCUCCUUUGGAAGUCAAGAAAAAGAAUAGCCCAGAAGAAAAAAUAAAGCAAUUAGAGAAGGAAGUAAAUGAGUUGGUAGAAGAAAGCUGUAUUGCUAAUAGUUGUGGAAACUUAAAAUUGGUAAGUUCAUAACUAAUAAGAUUCAAGAUUAUGAAG